GGAAUCCUGAUCCGAUGGACAUUUAUUUGCUUGUUUCAUUUUUAUUUCAUUGAUCCGAUGGUGGUGGUGGUGCUGAAUUUUGCUGUGGUUGCUUAGCUCUUGCUUUGGAACGUUCUAACAUAGCCGAAUAUGUUGAAAGUUGUAGAUUUAGAGACGAAGGUCUGCUACAACUGAAUAAAAGAUGUUAUGUCUCAAAAAGUGGUUACAAUUGUUUACUUAAAAUGUAUACAGAAAACAAAAGCCGGAAGUUCUCCAUAAUAAUAGGCUUUGGCAAAAAAAAAAAAAAAAAACAU
rnacentral:misc_RNA from 1 species